CUCAAAUUACCCACCGCAAUAACAGAAUGGGAAGGGUGAAGCUAAAGAUAAAGAGGUUAGAGAGCACCAGCAAUCGGCAAGUGACCUAUUCAAAACGAAGGAAUGGGAUCUUGAAGAAAGCUAAGGAAUUGUCUAUAUUAUGCGACAUAGAUAUUGUCCUUCUCAUGUUUUCUCCAACGGGAAGGCCUACUUUAUAUCAAGGAGAGCACAGCAACAUUGAAGAUGUUAUUGCAAAAUUUGCUCAAUUAACUCCGCAGGAAAGGGC
rnacentral:misc_RNA from 1 species